rnacentral:rRNA from 1 species
UACGUAGGGCGCAAGCGUUAUCCGGAAUUAUUGGGCGUAAAGAGCGUGUAGGCGGCUUUACAGGUCCGUUGUGAAAACUCGAGGCUCAACCUCGAGACGCCGGUGGAAACCGUAAAGCUAGAGUCCGGAAGAGGAGAGUGGAAUUCCUGGUGUAGCGGUGAAAUGCGCAGAUAUCAGGAAGAACACCCGUGGCGAAGGCGGCUCUCUGGGACGGUACUGACGCUGAGACGCGAAAGCGUGGGGAGCGAACAGG